CCUACGGGAGGCAGCAGUGGGGAAUCUUGCGCAAUGGGCGAAAGCCUGACGCAGCAACGCCGCGUGCGGGAAGAAGGCUUUCGGGCUGUAAACCGCUUUCAGCAGGAACGAAAAUGACGGUACCUGCAGAAGAAGGAGCGGCCAACUAUGUGCCAGCGGCCGCGGUGAUACAUAGGCUUCAAGCGUUGUCCGGAUUUAUUGGGCGUAAAGAGUUCGUAGGCGGUCAAGUAAGUCGGGUGUGAAAAUUAUGGGCUCAACCCAGAGACGCCACCCGAUACUGCUUAACUUGAGUUCGAUAGGGGAGUGGGGAAUUCCUAGUGUAGCGGUGAAAUGCGCAGAUAUUAGGAGGAACACCGGUGGCGAAGGCGCCACUCUGGAUCGAUACUGACGCUGAGGAACGAAAGCAUGGGUAGCAAACAGGAUUAGAUACCCUGGUAGUCCAUGCCGUAAACGGUGGGCACUAGGUGUGGGUUUCUAUUAACGAAAUCCGCGCCGUCGCUAACGCAUUAAGUGCCCCGCCUGGGGAGUACGGUCGCGAGACGAAACGUACGAAAGAAGUAGACGG
rnacentral:rRNA from 1 species